AUUGAACGCUGGCGGCAUGCCUUACACAUGCAAGUCGAACGGUAACAGGUCUUCGGAUGCUGACGAGUGGCGAACGGGUGAGUAAUACAUCGGAACGUGCCUAGUAGUGGGGGAUAACUACUCGAAAGAGUGGCUAAUACCGCAUGAGAGCAACGGAUGAAAGCAGGGGAUCGCAAGACCUUGUGCCACUAGAGCGGCCGAUGGCAGAUUAGGAAGUUGGUGGGAUAAAAGCUUACCAAGCCGACGAUCUGUAGCUGGUCGGGGAGGACGAUCAGCCACACUGGGACUGAGACACGGCCCAGAAUCCUACGGGAGGAAGCAGUGGGGAAUUUUGGACAAUGGGCGAAAGCCUGAUCCAGCAAUGCCGCGUGCAGGAUGAAGGCCUUCGGGUUGUAAACUGCUUUUGUACGGAACGAAAAGCCCCGGGUUAAUACCCUGGGGUCAUGACGGUACCGUAAGAAUAAGCACCGGCUAACUACGUGCCAGCCGCCGCCGUAA
rnacentral:rRNA from 1 species